rnacentral:rRNA from 1 species
UACGAAGGGUGCAAACGUUGCUCGGAAUCAUUGGGCGUAAAGCGCACGUAGGCGGCUUCGCAAGUCGGAUGUGAAAUCCCUCGGCUCAACCGAGGACGUGCAUCCGAAACUGCGAAGCUUGAGUACUGAAGAGGAUCGCGGAAUUCCCGGUGUAGAGGUGAAAUUCGUAGAUAUCGGGAGGAACACCAGUGGCGAAGGCGGCGAUCUGGGCAGUUACUGACGCUGAGACGCGAAAGCGUGGGGAGCAAACAGG